UUCAGUGGUGGUCUUCUCUUUCAAGCCUGGAGAACUUCGGCCUAAGGCCCUUUCUUAAAACUUUCUUACUUUUGUUCCUCAUUUAAUCUGGUGCCCUCAUUUCUUCUUCUCCCAAUUUGUAAUCCUAACUUCAUCUUCCUUGCCGUUUUGUACAUAACAGAGCCUCCCUUUUUUACAACACCUUGCCUACAAGGUGUGGAUAAGAAGAUUUGAGUUGGUGGUACUCCUCCCAAGUGGCAUCCUCGCGAGUUUGCCCUUGCCAACGGUCUAACACAUCCACGACUGGCAAGAAUCCCUUCCUGCACAUCCUUCUAUCAAGGAUUUCCUCAUACUCGGGUUUAAAAACCCCAAAUGAGUCAACUGGUGGCAACGUUGGAAUGGGUUGGACCAAAAGUCCAACAUUUUUCUUCAACAGACUUACAUGGAACACGGGGUGCACCUGUGCUGUCUUCAGUAGUUGCAACCGGUUUUCUUUCAGCAAUUGGGAAAUUUUGUCUCGGGUCUUUAGGUCAAUACUACUGCCUCCACUCUUAAUGAUGCUUGUUGUUAGUUGAGUAGCUUAGGAUGUGGAUAGCCAUACAAGCUUCGAAUGGGGUGAGUUGUGUUGUUGAGUGGGUGGUGGUAUUGUACCACAACUCUGCCAAGGGUACUCAUGUGGCCCAGUCCCUGGGCCUGUCACCCACAAAACAACGAAGAUAAUUCUCCAUAGUCUUAUUAUCAGCUUUUGACUAGCCAUCAGAUUGAGGGUGGUAUGUUGAGCUGAAGGUCAGUUGGACUCCCUACUAUUUGAAAAGUUCUCCCUAGAACUUGUUGGUAAAUGACUUGUCCCAGUUAGAAACAAUUGUGUUAAGCAUACCAUGAAGCCUAAAGAUGUGUUUGAUGAAUUGGUUGGCUAAGGUUAGGCCAGUGUAUGGGUGGGAGAGGGGAAUGAAGUGGCUCAAUUUAGUCAGCCUGUCUACAAUGACUCACAGGCAGUUAAACCUCUUAGAAGGUGUAAAACAUUCUAUGAAAUCUAUGGAGAUGUGGGACCUAGGUUUAGAGGGAAUAGACAGAGGCUGUAGUAACCCCUUGGUAGGCUAUUCUUGGGUUUAACACACUGACAAAUAUCACAAGCCUUGAUGUAUUCCCUCACAUCAGUUCUUAAACGAGGCCAAAAGACCUCUCUUUUCAUCCUUUGCAAGGUUUUCUCACAACCUAAGUGGCCCCCCCAGUGAGCCAUUAUGAAAGAGAGGUAGGAGUUUUUCUUUGUAAGGUUUGUGGUUAGAGAUGUAGAGCCCGUUCUUGUAGUAUAGGAGUCCAUCCCUCGAGGUGUAGUUGCGGCUCAAUUUCCCCUCCAAUUGCUACUGUGACAAGGCCUGCAUAUCAGGAUUAGCUUCAUAAAGGGCCUUUAACUCAUGUAAUAACUCCAAUAUAGGAACAAAGAUCAUGGUUAGGGUAGCCUCCCUGUUUUCCCCCUCCUCAUAACACCUCGAAAGAGCAUAAAAAACAAUGUUUUCCUUGCCUUUUUUAUAUUCCGCCAAGUAAUCAUACCCCAACAGUUUAGCUAGCCAUCUCUGCUGCAUAUGAGUUCCCACUUUCUGAUUUAACAGAAAUUUAAGACUCCAGUGGUCCGUUUUGACUACAAACUUUCCCCCCUAGUAAAUAAGGUCUACCUCUUCACAGUUGAAACAAGGGCUAGUAAUUCCUUCUCAUAGAUGGACACAGCCAAGGCCCUUCCCUUCAAGGCUUGGCUAAAAUAGGCUAUUGGAUAUCUCUAUUGCAGCAGUACAGCCCCAGCUGCCCUACCCGAGGCAUCACACUCAAUAUAAAAUGGUUGAGUGAAAUCUGGGAGGGCUAAAAUAGGAGGUUUAACCAUAACUUAAGCUUCUUAAAAGCUUCUUCUGCCUGGGGAGACCAAUGAAACUCAUUCUUCCUUAGGAGAUCUGUUAGAGAAGCUGCAAUACCUCCAUAACCUCAGAUAAAUCUCCAAUAAUAGUCAGUGAGUCCCAAAAAUCCCUUAAAGGAUUUUAGUGAAGUGGGAAGGGGCCACUCAAGUAUGGCUCUAAUCUUCUCUGGGCCAGCUUUCACACCUUGGGCAGAUAUAUGGUGGCCCAAAUAAGACACCUCCCUACUGCCAAACUUGCAUUUGGACAGCUUAGCAAAAAGUUGGUGUUGUCUCAGCUUCUCUAGAGUCAUCCUUAGGUGUUCUGGGUGCUGGUCUGCAUCUUGGCUGUAGACUAAAAUGUCA